AGAUACAAAUUAAAAGUUUGCGUGCUUGUGUGUAUGAUAUAGUAUAUGGGCCAUCGCUAAUAUAUAAAAUAAAUAAAAAUCAAUGAAGUUAAAACUGUUUAGACAUUGUAAAAUGAAUGUCCACUUAUAUAUACCCUUUAACUUCUUGAAAUUACAUACACAAUAACAGAGACAUUAUCACAAUUAAUAGUUAAUCGCAUCGAAUUAACUUGUUAAAAAAGAUGGCUAAGAUAACUUCGGGAUGCAUUUUCUUCUUUGUCAUCUCGGUUUCAGUUAUGUUGACAAGUGAAGUGGUAAUUGGAGCCAAGUGUCACGCAAUUUCCGAUAAGCAAGUAGACUGCAAAAGCGACUCUCAUAACUAUGAAUGCAACCAGGAAUGCAUAGACAAACAUGAUUUCAAGGCCUAUGGAGAUUGCUAUAAUAAUUCCCUUUGUGUAUGCACCUUCAAUUGUCCCUCUAAUUAUUAGUUUGUAGAAUUUGCAUAUAAUCACUGCAUAUUAUUAGAAUAAUAGUUUUGUAAUAACGAAAAUGGUUAUAAAUACGUUCAAUAAUGUUGAAUUUAUCGUUAAAUCUUUUAUAAAAAUUA